AACGCACCUUGCGCUCCUUGGUAUUCCGAGGAGCAUGCCUGUUUGAGUGUCAUUUAAUUCUCAAUCCCUACAAUCUUGUAUUGUUUAGUGGAUUGGAUGUGGGGGUCCUUGUGGGUCUAUCUAUUAGAUCUGCUCCCCUAAAAAUCAUUAGCUGGAAUGCCUUUGCAAAACCAACUAUCAGUAUGAUAAUUAUCUACUCUGAUGUUGUUGUUAAAGGGGAUCUGCUUUCAAAUUGUCGUUUAGACACUAUGAAUCAAUUUGACCUCAAAUCAGGUAGGACUACCCGCUGAACUUAA
rnacentral:misc_RNA from 1 species